rnacentral:rRNA from 1 species
AACGAACGCUGGCGGCGUGGAUAAGACAUGCAAGUCGAGCGGGACACUAUUUGUAGCAAUACAGGUAGUGUUCAGCGGCGCAAGGGUGCGUAACACGUGGGCAACCUGCCCGGAAAUGGGGGAUAGCUCGUCGAAAGGCGAAUUAAUACCGCAUGUGACGAAGGGUGACAUCACCUUGUAGCUAAAGUCGGGGCAACCUGACGUUUCUGGAUGGGCCCGCGGCCUAUCAGCUAGUUGGUGUGGUAACGGCGCACCAAGGCUAUGACGGGUAGCUGGUCUGAGAGGACGACCAGCCACACUGGAACUGAGACACGGUCCAGACACCUACGGGUGGCAGCAGUUGAGAAUUUUUCUCAAUGGGGGAAACCCUGAAGGAGCGACGCCGCGUGGAGGAUGAAGGUCUUCGGAUUGUAAACUCCUGUCAUUGGUGAACAAGGCCCACGCAGUAACUGGUGUUGGGAUUGAUAGUAGCCGAAGAGGAAGAGACGGCUAACUCUGUGCCAGCCGCCGCAGUAACAC